CAAGGCGACGACGGGUAGCCGGCCUGAGAGGGCGACCGGCCACACUGGGACUGAGACACGGCCCAGACUCCUACGGGAGGCAGCAGUGGGGAAUAUUGCGCAAUGGGCGAAAGCCUGACGCAGCGACGCCGCGUGGGGGAUGAAGGCCUUCGGGUUGUAAACCCCUUUCACCAGGAGCGAAAACAGACGGUACCUGGGGAAGAAGCGCCGGCUAACUACGUGCCAGCAGCCGCGGUAAUACGUAGGGCGCAAGCGUUGUCCGGAAUUAUUGGGCGUAAAGAGCUCGUAGGCGGCCUGUCGCGUCCGCUGUGAAAUCCUGGGGCUUAACCCCGGGCGUGCAGUGGAUACGGGCUGGCUAGAGGCAGGCAGGGGAGAACGGAAUUCCCGGUGUAGCGGUGAAAUGCGCAGAUAUCGGGAGGAACACCGGUGGCGAAGGCGGUUCUCUGGGCCUGUUCUGACGCUGAGGAGCGAAAGCGUGGGGAGCGAACAGGAUUAGAUACCCUGGUAGUCCACGCCGUAAACGUUGGGCGCUAGGUGUGGGUCCCUUCCACGGGGUCUGUGCCGCAGCUGACGCAU
rnacentral:rRNA from 1 species